GUCAUAAGUGGGCGUGACGGUUCCCCGAGAAUGACUUCAACGGGAUUAAUAGGGAACACGGUGCGGAAGACCCCAAAGGGACCAAGACCGUGGCUGCCCCCGCAACUGUAAGCGGAUUGCCGAUCAUCCUUGGGCCGGAAGGCCAUGCCACUGCGACUAUCGCGGGAAGGCAGAUGACCGACACGUAUCCGUGAGCCAGGAGACCUGCCGUCGAUCACGAUUCCAA
rnacentral:ncRNA from 2 species